UACGUAGGGGGCAAGCGUUGUCCGGAAUCAUUGGGCGUAAAGCGCGUGUAGGCGGCCCGAUAAGUCCGCUGUGAAAGUCCAGGGCUCAACCCUGGGAUGCCGGUGGAUACUGUCGGGCUCGAGUCCGGAAGAGGCGAGUGGAAUUCCUGGUGUAGCGGUGAAAUGCGCAGAUAUCAGGAGGAACACCAAUGGCGAAGACAGCUCGCUGGGACGUGACUGACGCUGAGACGCGAAAGCGUGGGGAGCAAACAGG
rnacentral:rRNA from 1 species